UAGGGAAUCUUCCGCAAUGGGCGAAAGCCUGACGGAGCAACGCCGCGUGAGUGAUGAAGGUCUUCGGAUCGUAAAACUCUGUUAUUAGGGAAGAACAAAUGUGUAAGUAACUAUGCACGUCUUGACGGUACCUAAUCAGAAAGCCACGGCUAACUACGUGCCAGCAGCCGCGGUAAUACGUAGGUGGCAAGCGUUAUCCGGAAUUAUUGGGCGUAAAGCGCGCGUAGGCGGUUUUUUAAGUCUGAUGUGAAAGCCCACGGCUCAACCGUGGGGGGUCAUUGGAAACUGGAAAACUUGAGUGCAGAAGAGGAAAGUGGAAUUCCAUGGGUAGCGGUGAAAUGGGCAGAGAUAGGGGGGAACACCAGUGGCGAAGGCGACUUUCUGGUCUGUAACUGACGCUGAUGUGCGAAAGCGUGGGGAUCAAACAGG
rnacentral:rRNA from 1 species